AGAGCAGUGAUGCAAAAGGAAAGGACAGAGUAUACUAAGUAUCUUUGGUUAGAGGAAAUGUAUUGGCAACAAAAGGUUGGGUAUGAUUGGUUUGAAAGUGGGGAUAGAAAUAUUAGAUUUUUUCAUAGUCUAGUAAAGGAAGGAUAAAUAAGUUGAAGGUGAGUAAGAUAAUGAAUGAACAUGGAUGUUGGUUGAAUC